UACAGAGGAGCCAAGCGUUGUCCGGAUUGACUGGGCGUAAAGCGCACGCAGGCGGAUGCGCGCGUGGGGUGUGAAAUCUGGCCGCUUAACGGCCAGGCGCCAUCCCAUACGGCGCGUCUGGAGCCUUGCAGAGGUCGGUGGAAUUGCCGGUGUAGUGGUGAAAUGCGUAGAUAUCGGGAGGAACACCAGUGGCGAAGGCGGCUUCCUGGCCUGUUCUUGACGCUGAGGCGCGAAAGCUAGGGGGAGCAAACAGG
rnacentral:rRNA from 1 species